UACGUAGGGUGCAAGCGUUGUCCGGAAUUAUUGGGCGUAAAGAGCUCGUAGGCAGUCUGUCGCGUCUGCUGUGAAAACUCGGGGCUUAACUCCGGGCCUGCAGUGGGUACGGGCAGACUAGAGUGCGGUAGGGGAGACUGGAAUUCCUGGUGUAGCGGUGAAAUGCGCAGAUAUCAGGAGGAACACCGGUGGCGAAGGCGGCCUGCUGGGCAGUUGCUGACACUGAGGCGCGACAGCGUGGGGAGCAAACAGG
rnacentral:rRNA from 1 species